rnacentral:tRNA from 1 species
GGUUGUUUGGCCGAGCGGUCUUAAGGCGCCUGAUUCAAGCUCAGGUAUCGUAAGAUGCAAGAGUUCGAAUCUCUUAGCAACCA